rnacentral:rRNA from 1 species
UACGUAGGGUCCGAGCGUUGUCCGGAAUUAUUGGGCGUAAAGAGCUCGUAGGCGGUCAGUCGCGUCUGCUGUGAAAACUCGGGGCUUAACUCCGGGCCUGCAGUGGGUACGGGCUGACUAGAGUGCGGUAGGGGAGACUGGAAUUCCUGGUGUAGCGGUGAAAUGCGCAGAUAUCAGGAGGAACACCGGUGGCGAAGGCGGGUCUCUGGGCCGUAACUGACGCUGAGGAGCGAAAGCGUGGGGAGCGAACAGG